rnacentral:rRNA from 1 species
AGAGUUUGAUCAUGGCUCAGAACGUACGCUGGCGGCACGCCUUAUACAUGCAAGUCGAACGGAGUAGCAAUACUUAGUGGCAGACGGGUGAGUAACAUGUGGGAAUCUUCCCUUUGGUGUGGAAUAACACGAGGAAACUUGUGUUAAUACCUCAUAAGUCUUUACGGAGAAAGCUUUAUGCGCCAAUGGAUGAGCCCGCACUUGAUUAGUUUGUUGGUAGGGUAAUGGCCUACCAAGACUAUUAUCAAUAGCUGAUCUGAGAGGAUGAUCAGCCACAUUGGGACUGAGACACGUCCCAAACUCCUACGGGAGGCAGCAGUAGGGAAUAUUGCACAAUGGAGGAAACUCUGAUGCAGCGAUGCCGCGUGAGUGAAGAAGGCCCUUGGGUUGUAAAGCUCUUUCGUCGGGGAAGAAAAUGACUGUACCCGAAUAAGAAGGUCCGGCUAACUUCGUGCCAGCAGCCGCGGUAAUACGAAGGGACCUAGCGUAGUUCGGAAUUACUGGGCUUAAAGAGUUCGUAGGUGGUUAAAAUAGUGGUGGUGAAAUCCCAGAGCUUNACUCUGGAACUGCCAUCAAAACUUUUUAGCUAGAGUUGAUAGAGGAA